rnacentral:lncRNA from 1 species
AUUUUACAUGCAUAUAUUUUAAGUCUGCUUUGAUACCAAUUGAAGGGAAGGGAAACAAUUUUCCUUCAGGAUGUCCAGAUUGCAUCUAAAAAUUUUCUAAUGUUCUACUUAUUUAAUAAUCAAAUUUUUACCUGAAAUGCAGUAGAACCAGGGAUCAAAUUCUAAAUUACCUGAUAUAAACCUUCACGGAGGCCUGGAUGUGCAAACCCUCUACUUCGCAUGCACG